UGGGCUUGACAUCCCACGAACCUGCUGAAAGCCAGGAGUGCCCGCAAGGGAGCGCAGAGACAGGUGGUGCAUGGCUGUCGUCAGCUCGUGUCGUGAGAUGUUGGGUUAAGUCCCGCAACGAGCGCAACCCUCACCCUUUGUUGCCAUCAGGUUAUGCUGGGCACUCUAAGGGAACUGCCUCGGUUAACGAGGAGGAAGGUGGGGAUGACGUCAAGUCAUCAUGCCCCUUACGCUCUGGGCUACACACGUGCUACAAUGGCCAAUACAAAGGGCUGCAAACCCGCGAGGGCAAGCCAAUCCCAAAAAAUUGGUCUCAGUUCAGAUUGUAGGCUGCAACCCGCCUGCAUGAAGGAGGAAUCGCUAGUAAUCGUGGAUCAGCAUGCCACGGUGAAUACGUUCCCGGGCCUUGUACACACCGCCCGUCACACCACGAAAGUCUGCUGUACUCGAAGUCGCUGAGA
rnacentral:rRNA from 1 species